GCUGCCGGUGGAUCAAUAAAGUCAUACAUAUAUGGACAAGAAAAGAUAUGGGGAAAUAAAAUACAAGCAAGUGUACAUGUGACACACACAGCGUCCCCACGUGCUACUUCACUCCCUCUGUCUAGGGUUUUAGCUGAGCCUUGUGCACUGCAUGUGGAGAGCUCUGAGGCAUCUGUGUGGAAUGCUGUCCACAGGGAAGAAGUCUGUAAAAAAGAAUAGGAAAGUUUAAGGACUGAAAACACUCACCAGCAUAUUUGUGCUGUUGGCCUUCACCUGCCAAGGCUGAGCGAGCAUCUUGGUCCAUCCACGACCCACCUGCCCUCCUCUACCCACCAUCCUCCUGGAGCUCCUGUUGCAGCUGAGGCCUGGGGAGAACAAGGCUGGUUCUAACCCUCUGAAGAAAGUCCCCAGCUCCGAUUAGCCCCAGAAAGUCCAUCAAAAUUCUUACCAGAGUCCUAAAAAGAAGAUGAUGGAAGAAAGAAUUGGACUCCUGCUUUUAAAUGAAAAUAUGUAUAUAAAUCGGCCAAUAUGGAUCCACUCCUGUCACUGUAGUGCUCAAUGAAUAUGACUUUUCUUCUCUCCCACUCAGUAGGUGAUGUCUCUUCCACAUGCCAAUGGGAAAUUGUACUAAAGAGUGGGCAGGAGUCAAAACUUCAGUCAUUGGUUUUCCACUUUGGCCUGUGAA